rnacentral:rRNA from 1 species
CCAAAUGCUGGCGACCGGCGCACGGGUGAGUAACACGUAUCCAACCUGCCUCAUACUCGGGGAUAGCCUUUCGAAAGAAAGAUUAAUAUCCGAUAGCAUAUAUUUCCCGCAUGGGUUUUAUAUUAAAGAAAUUCGGUAUGAGAUGGGGAUGCGUUCCAUUAGUUUGUUGGGGGGUAACGGCCCACCAAGACUACGAUGGAUAGGGGUUCUGAGAGGAAGGUCCCCCACAUUGGAACUGAGACACGGUCCAA